CGGGAUGUAGCGCAGCCCGGUAGCGCGCUCGGUUCGGGACCGAGAGGCCGGAGGUUCAAAUCCUCUCAUCCCGACCA
rnacentral:tRNA from 1 species